AUGCCAUGAUGAGGGAAUUUUCUUAACAACUCUUUAAACCUCUCCCAUGCAUCAGGAACAGCUUCAUCGUUCAUUUGCUUAAGAAGACAUAUUUCAUUUCUAGACUU